rnacentral:rRNA from 1 species
UGAGUACGAGAUGCUACGGCAUCGAAGCAGUCUAUGUCAUACUUCCAAGAAAAGCUUGCACUGUCAGAAACAGAUAAUGCCUGUACCAUAACCGACACAGGUGGGUAGGUAGAGUAUACUAAGGGGCGCGAGAUAACUCUCUCUAAGGAACUCGGCAAAAUGACUCCGUAACUUCGGGAGAAGGAGUGCCUUAUUUUUAAGGUUGCAAUAACAAGAUCCAAGCAACUGUUUACCAAAAACACAGGUCUCCGCUAAGUCGUAAGACGAUGUAUGGGGGCUGACGCCUGCCCAGUGCCAGAAGGUUAAAGAAGUCGGUUAGCAUUCGCGAAGCUGGUACCUGAAGCCCUGGUGAACGGCGGCCGUAACAAUAACGGUCCUAAGGUAGCGAAAUUCCUUGUCGGGUAAGUUCCGACCCGCACGAAAGGCGUAAUGAUUUGGAUACUGUCUCGGAGAGGGGCUCGGUGAAAUAGACUUGUCUGUGAAGAUGCGGACUACCUGCACCUGGACAGAAAGACCCUAUGAAGCUUUACUGUAACUUGAAAUUGAAAUUGGACUUUAUUUGCGCAGUAUAGGUGGGAGGCGUUGAAAAUAUUCUUGCGGGAAUAUUGGAGCCAUCAGUGAGAUACCACUCUUGUAAUGUUAGAUUCUAACUUUAUAUCAUUAUCUGGUUAAAGAACAGUUUCAGGCGGGCAGUUUGACUGGGGCGGUCGCCUCCCAAAUGGUAACGGAGGCGCACAAAGGUUUCCUCUGAACGGGUAGAAAUCGUAUCUAGAGUGUAAAGGCAUAAGGAAGCUUGACUGUGAGACCUACAAGUCGAGCAGGGACGAAAGUCGGUCUUAGUGAUCUGACGGUGCUGAGUGGAAAGGCCGUCACUCAACGGAUAAAAGUUACUCUAGGAUAACAGGCUGAUCUCCCCCAAGAGUUCACAUCGACGGGGAGGUUUGGCACCUCGAUGUCGGCUCAUCGCAUCCUGGGGCGGUAGUACGUCCCAAGGGUUGGGCUGUUCGCCCAUGAAAGCGGUACGCGAGCUGGGUUCAGAACGUCGUGAGACAGUUCGGUCCAUAUCCGGUGUAGGCGUUAGAAUAUUGAGAGGAGCCUUCUUUAGUACGAGAGGACCGAGAAGGACAUACCUCUGGUGUACCAGUUAUCGUGCCAACGGUAAACGCUGGGUAGCUAUGUAUGGAGUGGAUAACCGCUGAAAGCAUCUAAGUGGGAAGCCCACCUCAAGAUAAGUAUUCU